rnacentral:tRNA from 1 species
GGAGUAUUAUGUCAAACAGUAAGCUUCUAACUUACUUUUAAGCGGUUUAAUUCCGUUUAUACUCCU